rnacentral:rRNA from 1 species
GGGUUCAGAACGUCGUGAGACAGUUCGGUCCCUAUCCGUCGCGGGCGUAGGAAAUUUGAGAGGAGCUGUCCUUAGUACGAGAGGACCGGGAUGGACGCACCGCUGGUGUACCAGUUGUUCCGCCAGGGGCACAGCUGGGUAGCUAUGUGCGGAAGGGAUAAGCGCUGAAAGCAUCUAAGCGUGAAGCCCCCCUCAAGAUGAGAUUUCCCAUCGCGUCAAGCGAGUAAGAUCCCUUGAAGAUGACAAGGUUGAUAG